AAACAACAAGGGUCGUUCGUGUGCACGUCCUGCUCCGGCAGCCUACGAGGGUUAAAUCCUCCACACAGAGUGAAGUCUAUCUCCAUGACAACGUUCACACAACAGGAAAUUAAAUUACUGCAAAAACAUGGAAAUGAAAUUCUUUCCCAAGGUUUGUAAACAGAUUUGGCUAGGAUUCUUUGAUGAUAGAUCUUCAGCAAUUCCAGACUUCAGGGACCCACAGAAAGUGAAAGAGUUUCUACAAGAAAAAUAUGAAAAGGAAAGAUGGUAUGUACCGCCAGAACAAGCCAAGGUCGUGGCAUCAGUGCACGCAUCUACUUCAGGGUCUUCUGCCAGUAGCACAAGCAGCACACCUGAGGUCAAGCCCCUGAAAUCUCUUUUAGGAGAUUCAGCACCAGCACUGCACUUGAAUAAGGGUACACUAGUCAGUCCCCAGUGUAGGUCGCUCCCAAGGGCAGCAGCAGGAAAAGAAGCAGUUGGACCUUUUGAGUGAUCUUGGCUCAGACCUCUUUGCUGCUCCGGCUCCUCACUCAACAGCCACAGCCAGUUUUGCCAACUUUGCACAUCUCAACAGUCAUGCAGUGAUAGCAGAGCUACUCUCCAGCCAGCCACAUUUCUUUCUAGCAAGCAUUAAAGCUCAGAAUUCUGCAAAUGCAGAUUUUGCAAACUUUGAUGCAUUUGGACAGUCUAGUGGUUUGAGUAAUUUUGGAGGUUUCCCCACAGCAAGUCACUCUCCUUUUCAGCCCCAAACUACAGGUGGAAGUGCUGGAUCAGUAAAUGCUAAUUUUGCUCAUUUUGAUAACUUCCCCCAAAUCCUCCAGUGCUGAUUUUGGAACCUUCAAUACUUCCCAGAGUCAUCAGACAGCAUCAGCUGUUAGUAAAGUUUCAGCAAACAAACCUGGAUUACAGACAACAGACAAAUAUGCAGCCCUUGCUAAUUUAGACAAUAUCCUCAGUGCUGGGCAAGGUGGUGAUCAAGGGAGUGGUUUGGGGGCCACAGGUAAAGCUCCUGUUGGUUCUAUGGUUUCAGUUCCCACUCAGUCAGGUGCAUCUUCAGACAGGUAUGCAGCCCUGGCUGAACUGGACAGUGUGUUCAGCUCUGCAGCCACCUCCAGUAAUGCGUAUACUUCCACCAGUAAUGCUAGCAGCAGUGUUUUUGCAACAGUGCCAGUGGGUGCUUUGGCACAGACUCAGCCUGCUUCUUCAAGUGUGCCUGCUCCAGUUGGAGCAACGCCUUCCACAAACCCAUUUGUUGCUGCUGGGGGUCCUUCUGUGGCAUCUUCAACAAAUCCAUUUCAGACCAAUGCCAGAGGAGCAACAGCGGCAACCUUUGGCACAGCAUCCAUGAGCAUGCCUGCGGGUUUUGAGACCCCUGCUCCCUAUAGUCUUCCCACUAGCUUUAGUUUUCAGCAGCCUGCCUUCCCAGCCCAAACAGCUUUCCCUCAACAGACAGCUUUUUCUCAACAGCCCAAUGGUGCAGGUUUGGCAGCAUUUGGACAAACAAAGCCAGUGGUGACCCCUUUUGGUCAAGUUGCGACUGCUGGAGUAUCUAGUAAUCCCUUUAUGACUGGUGCACCAACAGGACAAUUUCCAACAGGAAGCUCAUCAACCAACCCUUUCUUAUAGCCUUAUAUGGACACUUUACUGGAACGAACUUUCAUGUGGUCAUAUUACAUCCCUCCGCCUCUUGCACUGUUGUCUUGUUUCACUGAUCUUAGCUUUAAACACAAGAGAAGUCUUUAAAAAGCCUGCAUUGUGUGUUAAACAUCAGGUAAUAAGUGCAAAACAGAGGGCUCUGAUAACAACUUUUAACCUGUGAAUUGGCAGAAAAAGAUAGCGGUAUCAUGUGUAUUAAAAAUUGGCUAAUACUAAGUUAUUGCAGACACCACAUUCAUUAUGCUGCAGUACUGUACAUAUUUUUCUUAGAAAUUAGCUAUUU